UCAAAUAAGGAAGGGAAGAAAACUUGGCUCGUCCUUUCAGAUGAACCCAUUUAUUUUCAUCUCUCAUCACUUUCACAUCUGUGAUUUUCUUCCUUCCUCCCAAGAACGGGAGGCGUUUUCUCCUGCCAUUAAGGAGAGGUGGUUACUAGGGCCUGAGUCAGGCGUUUCCAGCUUGCUUCUGGAGCUUGACCAGUUUCCCAUCUCCACAGCACUUAGGAGAAACUGGAAGCUGGCAUUGCCCCAUGUGAGCCCCCAUGCUAAGUCACCUGGCCGGCUGGUGCCACCUUUGCAAAAACAAACACACAAAACAGAGACUGAAAGUACAACCAGAACAAACAAGCCUUUGGUGUUUAGUUGUGAAGGAAGAGCAACUGGGGCCAAAAGAAGUCACAAGGAAUGGAAGAAAGAGAGAUAUCUGCUGGGUGCAGGGAGGAUGGAAGAGGAAGGCCAGGCACAUAACGAGCCAUCACUCAUCACCUCUUCUGAGUCCACUGUACCCACUUGACCAAGGGAACCUUUGUGCCACCUGAUGGAGGAGAAGACAUACAUCACAACAGAGCCCAGAGCACUCUCAUUACAUCUUCCUGCAGAUCUUAAUUAAUGGAAAAGGUAAUUUCCAUGGUUUAUUAUAUAUAGGAACUACUUGGAGAAGUUGGAAUUAAUGCAGAGAUACUGGAAAGGAGACUCAGAUUUGUAUACAAUGAUAUACUUUACCUUUACCCCAAACUGGGGACAACAGAGAAAACAGAAUUGGCUAUGACUG
rnacentral:lncRNA from 1 species